rnacentral:SRP_RNA from 1 species
GUGGUGGCUUUGACCAGCAGUGGGCAGGUCU